rnacentral:rRNA from 1 species
GAUGAACGCUAGCGGCAGGCUUAACACAUGCAAGUCGAGGGGCAGCAUAAAUAGUAGCAAUACUAUUGGUGGCGACCGGCGGACGGGUGCGUAACGCGUAUACAACCUUCCCUAAACAGGGGGAUAAUCUGGAGAAAUUCGGUCUAAUACCCCAUAACAUCAGAGAAGGCAUCUGUUUUGGUUAAAAUUUCCGGCGGUUUAGGAUGGGUAGGCGUAGCAUUAGCUAGUUGGUGAGGUAACGGCUCACCAAGUCGACGAUGCUUAGGGGGACUGAGAGGUUAACCCCCCACACUGGUACUGAGACACGGACCAGACUCCUACGGGAGGCAGCAGUGAGGAAUAUUGGUCAAUGGGCGGAAGCCUGAACCAGCCAUGCCGCGUGCAGGAUGACGGCUCUAUGAGUUGUAAACUGCUUUUGUACGAGGGUAAAGUGGGCUACGUGUAGCCUUUUGAAAGUAUCGUACGAAUAAGGAUCGGCUAACUCCGUGCCAGCCGCCGCAGUAA